UCGGUCCGAUGUAGGGGACAAGGUCCCAGUCAGCUUCGGACUUCGGCCCGAUGUAGGGGACAAGGUCCCAGUCAGCUUCGGACUACGGUCCGAUGUAGGGGACAAAGGUCCCAGUCAGCUUCUGACUUCGGUCCGAUGUAGAGGACAAGGUCCCAGUCAGCUUCGGACUUCGGCCCGAUGUAGGGGACAAGGUCCCAGUCAGCUUCGGACUACGGUCCGAUGUAGGGGACAAGGUCCCAGUCAGCUUCGGACUUCGGUCCGAUUUAGGGGGCAAGGCCCCAGUUAGCCCGGACUUCGGUCCGAUGCAGUGGGCAAGGCCCAAUAUGUGUUUUAUAUGUUAUUGUGUGGUAUGUGGUAGAAUGGGGGAGCUCACUAAGCUUCAUGCUUACGGUUUUCAGUUUUGGUUUCAGGUACUCGGUUUUCAAAAGAGGAGCUCGGGAAGAUUGUAGUGCACACACCAUAGUCAGUUAGCCUGGGAACGUUUGACUCUGAUAAUGAUGUUAUGUUUUGAUUUAAUACUCGAGAAAUUAUGUUAUGACUUAUGAUACGGUUUUUAUAAAUAUGAUUUUAGUAAUGUUUUAAAAGAAAAUUUUUAGUCGUGAUUUUUGUGUCGUUAUAGUCCAAUAAUUUUACAAACCAUCAAACUUAUGUGUAGAUUAACACAACACUAACCAAAAUGACAACCUACUUUCAUUCUUAACUUAGAAUUGGAGAAAAGUUUUGAUUUUAACCUAAAAUAGCAUUAUACUUCCAUUUUUUUCACAAAAUAUCCUCAUAAUUUUGUUUUUUUCACAAAAUACCAUCGUACUUUCAUUUUUUCAAAAAAAUAGCCUCAUAAUUUCGUUUUUUUCACAAAAUACCGUCCUACAUUCGUUUUUUUCACAAAAUACCCUCAUAAUUUUGUUUUUUUUCACAAAAUACCCUCACAUUUUAGUUUUUUCAUAAAAUACCAUCAUACUUCUGUUUUUUUUUCACAAAAUACCCUCAUAAUUUUGUUUUUUCAUAAAAU
rnacentral:lncRNA from 1 species